rnacentral:misc_RNA from 1 species
UUUCCGUAGGUGAACCUGCGGAAGGAUCAUUAUUGUAUAACCGAGGUGCGAGGGCUGUCGCUGACCCGCGAUGUCGUGCACGCCCGAGUGCCCUCACACACAUCCAUCUCACCCCUAUGUGCACCACCGCGUGGGUCCCCCUUUGGCUUGUUCGGAGGGGGGCUUACGUUUUCACAGAAACUUUGUAUGCAGUGUAGAAUGUAUUUUUUGUUUUUGCGAUCACGCAAUCAAUACAACUUUCAACAACGGAUCUCUUGGCUCUC